rnacentral:rRNA from 1 species
GACGAACGCUGGCGGCGUGCCUAAUACAUGCAAGUAGAACGCUGAAGAGAGGAGCUUGCUCUUCUUGGAUGAGUUGCGAACGGGUGAGUAACGCGUAGGUAACCUGCCUUGUAGCGGGGGAUAACUAUUGGAAACGAUAGCUAAUACCGCAUAACAAUGGAUGACACAUGUCAUUUAUUUGAAAGGGGCAAUUGCUCCACUACAAGAUGGACCUGCGUUGUAUUAGCUAGUAGGUGAGGUAGCGGCUCACCUAGGCGACGAUACAUAGCCGACCUGAGAGGGUGAUCGGCCACACUGGGACUGAGACACGGCCCAGACUCCUACGGGAGGCAGCAGUAGGGAAUCUUCGGCAAUGGGGGCAACCCUGACCGAGCAACGCCGCGUGAGUGAAGAAGGUUUUCGGAUCGUAAAGCUCUGUUGUAAGUCAAGAACGAGUGUGAGAGUGGAAAGUUCACACUGUGACG